rnacentral:lncRNA from 1 species
CUCAUGCAGUCGAAGAACGAAUCUUGGGGACAAUGGAGAGUGAGCAAAGCGAUAGAAGUUUAUUAAACAAAGGUCUAGAGAAAGCUCUCAGAAGUGAGAGAGGUCCCGUCAGGGUUGCCUCUGAGGGCUUUUAGCAGGAGUCUUUUAUUGAGAACUGACUAGGAAGCUGGUGGCCUUGAGAUUUUCGUCCUGUCUUGGUUUGAGCAGGACUAUUGAUAACACCCUCAAUGACUUCAUUCUUUGUGGUCUGGUGAGUUUCUGUGAUUGCUUGGUAACCAUCAAAGGGAGAUACUUCCUAACAUUUCACAGCUAGGGAGCCAGGUUUUGGGGUUGUUUUUUGUUUUUUCUGUUUCCACUGCCUUAUCUGUUUCCUUGGGAUCUAUGGGAGCCUGACUCCGGGCCUUUCCCUUACCUUGUCCUGCUAGGCCCAUCUGUUCCUACCUCAGCACAAGGGAGAGGCCACAGCCUAACAGGCAGCUGUGCCAUCAGGGACACAGGCAGGGACCCCACAUUUGUUUGGCCACACUUUGCCAACCAGGUCCCAGGGAGAGGUCAAGGGGCCCUGAGCAGGGGUCUGGGUGACACCAGCUCGAGCAUUGACCAAGCCAUGGGCUCUGCAGCGAGGGAGCACCAGUUAUCUGAUUCAGGCGACAGGUGGGGCCAUCAGCCACUGGCUACCUCUGCCCUCCCAGCCACACCCCCUGAACCCCCUCCCCAGCCACCCUGCAUGCUCACAACCUGUGUCUGUCUUCCAGCCUCCAGAGAAUCGGCACUUCUGCUCCCCUUGGUCUCAGGAUGUAAGGUCCCAAAAAAUGGUGAGGACAUAACCCUGGCCUGCUUGGCAAAAGGACCCUUCCUAGAUUCUGUGCGGGUCACGACAGGCCCAGAGUCACAGGCCCAGAUGGAAAAGACCACACUGAAGACGCUAAAGAUACUGGACCACGCUCAGUUGUCUUUCCUGUCCAUCCCCUGGAAGCCAGAGCUGCACUACUGUGAAGCCAUCAUGAAAGACAACAAACAGAAGCUGCAUAAAGCCAUCCACUGGCCAGCAUCCUGGGAAACUGCCACCUCCCUGUUGACUCAUGCGCCAUCCAGGACCACACCCAAGCCCCCAGGACCACACCCAAGCCCCCAGCACACCCAAGCCCCCAGCAUGGCCAGGAUCUCAGGUGAGGAGCCCCCUCCUGCCUUCCCAUCCCUUCCGCUGACUCCUUCCAGCAGCCCUCCGUGACAUCUCCCAU